rnacentral:piRNA from 2 species
UAAUUUCUUUCUCAGCCUGUUUAUCCUUU